UCUAACCUAAUUUUCCUCUCUUGUACCCUCACCUGUUCCUCAUUCGCCGUCCGACAACAACAUUUCUACCUCCUUCAAGUAAAAAUCGUGAACGCUGAUGGUGGUGCGGCCUUCUUCUCUUCUCAUCACAAACGAAAGCGUGACCUCUAUCUCCGGAGAGAUCUUAUAUCCGUCUUCUUUCGAUCCUCUCCGCCUCGUCUCAACGUCUUCUUUUUCCGCCUCUUCACUCGCUUGUGAUGUUGUUGAAACUGGUUCUGAAUCUGUAAAACUGGGUAAGAUCUUUUCAAACCUAUUUUUUAAUCUCUCUUCUUCUAUAUCUGUAUAUUCUGAAGGGUUUGUGUAUAUAGGAAAAUGAUGAGCACAUUUUUAUGGGUUUCACCAACCACCGUUCUUCUCACCAACCACAACGGCUUCUUUUCUCACCGGCCAUAAUAGGGAAGAUUUUGUUGUUUUAAAACUGAAUCAACAAGAAACCAACACGAUUUUGUUAUAAGGUAACAUUUUUUAUUCAAGUUUUCAUUUUGGUUUUGUUAGGGUUUGCGUAGGGUUUCGAAUCCUGACUCUGUCGUUCCCAAUAACGACUUAGUUGUCUUGAUUUUGAUUUUGUUGUUUUGUUUUUAUGAUAUAUUAAUCUUUUAUUGAGUUCAAUGGCGAUUCAGGUGCUUCAGGUGCUUCAGGGGUGUUUAAGGUUAUGAUUUAACUUUGUUGUUUUGUUUUGUGUUUAAUUACUUUUCUACAGUGUUUUCUUUAAUUAAUUAUGUUUUCUUUGUAAAAAAUUGAUUCAGGUUCUUACAGUUUAUAGAAGAUUGCACUGAACCAAGUAUUAACACUGAUCCUAAAACAAGGAUAUAACAAUAGAAAUGUGAUGAAUAAGACAUCAAAAAUUGAUUAUAAACCGCUUAUGUUGAGACAACAGUUGCAUAAACAAAUAUAGUUCAAACAAUUUUAUUGAAUGGCAUUCUGUUUGUGUUAUGUUAGAGUGAAAGAGAAGGUCAUCAACUUGUCAUAUGAAGGUUUUUUGUGUUUGUAUUAAUAUCUCCAUUUUGUUAUUACGCUAAGCGACUACCACCGGUUGCUCUGGAUUUUUGUCCGAACUUUGUAGCUAAGUAACUCACUUCUCUCUAUAUUGAUUUAGUAUGUUGUAUCAAUCAAAAUGAACAUUCACUUUGUUCAAUGUUUUUAACCUUAUUAUCUUUAAUGUGUGUUGCUUUGAGAAUUAGGAAGAAUGGUAUCUCUCCGCAAGACUCCAUCUCAGUUUAAUUUGCAUUUAUGCUUGUAGGUCUUGGUACUGCUUUCAAUGUUGCAAAACUAAAACCAGUUUCUCAUGUUUCUCUAUCUUUGGACUUGGAGUAGUUAGCCUUGUAGUAUCUUACUUUUGUACAAUUGACUUUAUGGCUGUUGUAAUUAUGAUGGAAAUGAAAUGAUAUAAUAUUAACUCAUGCAAUUCUCUUUAAACUCAAUGCACUCUGAAUUGAAUGUUAACAGACAUUGUUAUAUUAUAUACUUAUCUGGUCUAGCAUAUCCAUCCUAUAAGUUGAAUGUUUCAUUAUAGAAUGAGCCCAUCAUUCUUUUGGCAUGAGAUUCAUGGCUUUACAUUUGUUGAGUUUGUACUUGAAACUUAGUACCUCUCUCGAAUAAAUGAUUUAGCCAAUACUGCUUAAUGUAAUUCAUUUUGGGGCUGCUUGUGCUAUUAUACUUACUAGCUUGUUGACAUGUGCUAAUACUGAGUUUACUUUUUAUUUUAUUUUGAAGGCUUUGUUGAAAAUGGGAGUUCAUGGUGUCAUUGUAUCUGAUAUGAUCGGAAGGCGUCCGAUCAUAUCAGAUACAGUGACACCAUGAAUAUAGUACACAAUAUAUUAUGCUUUGGGAGUUCAUGGUGUCAAUGCAUGAGUAUAGGCUUGAAACUGUAGAAAAUGCACCUCCACAGCAUCUGGUGAGCCACCCUUGCUUUUAGCAGCUUCGGUUCACUGUGCCACAAGAUCAGCUGUCAAUGAAGUGAGGAAACAACUCCUAUCAUGGAGCAACUUAGAUGAAUCAGAUUCAACAUUUCAAUUGGGGGGUCCCUGCAACCAUGCAUGUAGUAAAGGAACUCAGUGGACUAGACAUUGUAGAAAGGUACUUGAAAUGGAAAAUGGACAGCAAGUAAAAGACAUCAAUCAGCAAGUAAAAGACAUCAAUCGCACAAUAGUUGAAAGCAGGCCUAUGUUAUUAAAUGGUACUUGCAUGAUUUACUCAAUAAUUGAUGUAUUGGGAAGACUCUUUGAGAGAAACUUGUGUUUAAUUUAGCUUUUGUUUUGAAUUUCUAUGGUUGUUUUGAAUUUGGGAUGACAUCAAAACUUAGUAUCCAACUUAUUAGUGGCACUAAAAAAAACUUACUUUUGACGUUAA